GACGACCGCUGGCGGCGUGCUUAACACAUGCAAGUCGAACGGAAAGGCCCUGCUUUUGUGGGUUGCUCUGGUGGCGCACGGGUGUGUAACACGCGAGUACCCUGCCCUUGACUUUGGGAUAACUUCAGGAAACUGGGGCUCCUACCGGAUAGGAGCUCCUGCUGCAUGGUGGGGGUUGGAAAGUUUCGGCGGUUGGGGAUGGACUCGCGGCUUAUCAGCUUGUUGGUGGGGUAGUGGCUUACCAAGGCUUUGACGGAUAGCCGGCCUGAGAGGGUGACCGGCCCCCCUGGGAAUGGGAUAGGCACCAUACUCAUACGGGAGGCAGCGGUGGGGAAGCUAGCAUAGGGAGCCGAGGUCUAAUGCAGCACUGUAGGGUGCGGUAGGAAGGUCUGGCGGUAGAAGGCCGGGUAUGGCUGUGGUGUGGCGUGUGUGAGGGUAAUGGGUGAAGAAGGAACGGCUAGCUACGUG
rnacentral:rRNA from 1 species